GGACACUAAUUGUUCAUACAGAAAUAUGGAUUUCCAUAGCAUAAACCAUCUCUCCCCAUUUGGUUUUAGAGUGUUUGCAAGAAGAGGCAGGGAGUGAUUUGCAGCCAAGAAUGACUUGCCGGAAUGCAUAUAUAUGCAUUAGGUACCAACAUAUAUAGUUGUAUUGUAUAAUUUCGGGCAAGUUGUUUUUGGCUACAUUUAUCUCUCUUCUUUUCUUGUAAAACUUCAUAAAUCCUUAUUUUUUUUUGGAGGACAUAUAUAUUCUUUAUGAUAAACAACAUCAAGAAAGGGGUAGAGUUGUUGAAGAAGCAUCCAUGUUUACCACUGAUAUUUAGAGAGCAAUAUUUAUUGUUUUCCUAAAUGUAUAGAAGAGCUCAUAAUCUCAGUGGAACAAUCAUAAGACAAUGCUUGAAAAGGUAUUGUCUAGCUAAUGUAGUAGAUGAUUCUUUGCAAUGAGUUGAUGUACUCCUUGUAUGACUUUAACAAUGGUUUCGUCCUCGCUAAUAAAUAAAAAAAGAAUAAUAGAAUA